rnacentral:rRNA from 1 species
CCCUUAGAUGUUCUGGGCCGCACGCGCGCUACAAUGAUGAAUUCAGCGAGUUUAUAACCUUGGUUGAAAAGCCUGGGUAGUCUUUUGAACUUUCGUCGUGAUGGGGCUAGACCCUUGCAAUUAUUGGUCUCCAACGAGGAAUUCCUAGUAAACGCAAGUCAUCAGCUUGCAUUGAUUACGUCCCUGCCCUUUGUACACACCGCCCGUCGCACCUACCGAUUGAAUGGUCCGGUGAAAUCUUCGGAUUGAGACUUUGAUUUCUUCACGGAAAACGCUGUUUUAAAAAGUUGAUUAAACCUUACCAUUUAGAGGAAGGUGAAGUCGUAACA